rnacentral:rRNA from 1 species
CUUUUAUGGAGAGUUUGAUCCUGGCUCAGGACGAACGCUGGCGGCGUGCCUAACACAUGCAAGUCGAACGGGGAGUUA